rnacentral:rRNA from 1 species
GAUGAACGCUGGCGGCGCGCCUAACACAUGCAAGUCGAACGGCACCCACCCUCGGGUGGAAGCGAGUGGCGAACGGCUGAGUAACACGUGGAGAACCUGCCCCCUCCCCCGGGAUAGCCGCCCGAAAGGACGGGUAAUACCGGAUACCCCGGGGUGCCGCAUGGCACCCCGGCUAAAGCCCCGACGGGAGGGGAUGGCUCCGCGGCCCAUCAGGUAGACGGCGGGGUGACGGCCCACCGUGCCGACAACGGGUAGCCGGGUUGAGAGACCGACCGGCCAGAUUGGGACUGAGACACGGCCCAGACUCCUACGGGAGGCAGCAGUGGGGAAUCUUGCGCAAUGGGGGGAACCCUGACGCAGCGACGCCGCGUGCGGGACGGAGGCCUUCGGGUCGUAAACCGCUUUCAGCAGGGAAGAGUCAAGACUGUACCUGCAGA